GGAGAGGUACCGAAGUGGUUGUAACGGGGCCGACUCGAAAUCGGCUUGUCCCUUAACCGGGGCACGUGGGUUCGAAUCCCACCCUCUCCG
rnacentral:tRNA from 1 species